rnacentral:rRNA from 1 species
AUUGAACGCUGGCGGCAGGCCUAACACAUGCAAGUCGAGCGGAUGAAGGGAGCUUGCUCCUGGAUUCAGCGGCGGACGGGUGAGUAAUGCCUAGGAAUCUGCCUGGUAGUGGGGGAUAACGUCCGGAAACGGGCGCUAAUACCGCAUACGUCCUGAGGGAGAAAGUGGGGGAUCUUCGGACCUCACGCUAUCAGAUGAGCCUAGGUCGGAUUAGCUAGUUGGUGGGGUAAGGGCCUACCAAGGCGACGAUCCGUAACUGGUCUGAGAGGAUGAUCAGUCACACUGGAACUGAGACACGGUCCAGACUCCUACGGGAGGCAGCAGUGGGGAAUAUUGGACAAAGGGCGAAAGCCUGAUCCAGCCACGCCGCGUGUGUGAAGAAGGUCUUCGGAUUGUAAAGCACUUUAAGUUGGGAGGAAGGGCAGUAAGUUAAUACCUUGCUGUUUUGACGUUACCAACAGAAUAAGCACCGGCUAACUUCGUG